GUCGUUUCCGUGUCCUCGUACUGCAACUUAUCGUGCCUUUUCUCUCGAAUUAUCCAAGAACUCGGACCCUGCCGAGGACUAUUUGCCAAGGAGGAGGCGACUGCUCCUGGCAGAGCGACGCAAACGUAGCAAGGAUCGGGGCUGUCACUGAUGACGCGAGACGCUGCUGCCGAGUCACCGCUGCGAUGAGUCUGAGCGAGAAAGAUCCGGCCUACCCCGUAGCGGACGGACAUUGGUUCCGCUUGUUCUAUGAGUUGCUUUAAAAUUAGCCUGGGACGUCCAAGAAGUGUUAAGACAUCUGCAGUAACUGGGGCAGCCAGUCCCUGGAGGCCAACUCAGGGAACAACAAACUCCUUCGCCAAGCCGUCCACACAUGCCAGCUGAUGGUCUAGGACCCAAGUAUGUGCCAAGAGUGAGGUGUCUUACUUCUAAGGAGAGGCAAGCAGUUUGCUAUGCAAGCGGGUCGCUGGCCCUGGACCUAAAGAUCUUCUCUCUAACUCCAUAUUCUUUAAAUAAACUUGUCUUUUAUGAGGAGUGGAAAA